rnacentral:rRNA from 1 species
GCUUGUCUCAAAGAUUAAGCCAUGCAUGUCUAAGUUUAAGUAAUUUAACGGCGAAACUGCGAAUGGCUCAUUAAAUCAGUUAUAAUUUACUUGGUUGAUCCUACUCUUACUCGGAUAACUGUAGUAAUUCUAGAGCUAAUACGUGCAACGAAGCCCCAACUUUUCGGAAGGGGUGCACUUGUUAGGUACCAAACCAGCCGGGCAACCGAGUUCUGGUGAUUCUAGACAAGUAGGCGGAGCGUGUGACCUUGUGUCGACGCCGAAUCAAUCAAGUUUCUGCCCUAUCAACUUUGGAUUGUAGUGUAUUGGACUACAAUGGUGAUAACGGGUGACGGGGAAUUAGGGUUCGAUUCCGGAGAGGGAGCCUGAGAGAUGGCUACCACUUCCAAGGAAGGCAGCAGG